AUCCCAGAUAAGCUUAUAAAACUGGUUCUUAUCUGAUUCAUGGGAGGCAAAGAAUAAAUCGUGGAAGUUUCGCUGAUAACGCCGUUUCUUCUCGCAAAACGGUGUUUACUAGUAUCUCUACCACACAAUG